rnacentral:rRNA from 1 species
UGGCGACCGGCGCACGGGUGAGUAACACGUAUCCAACCUGCCGAUAACUCGGGGAUAGCCUUUCGAAAGAAAGAUUAAUAUCCGAUAGCAUAUCAAGAUCGCAUGAUCUUGAUAUUAAAGAAUUUCGGUUAUCGAUGGGGAUGCGUUCCAUUAGUUAGUUGGCGGGGUAACGGCCCACCAAGACGACGAUGAAUAGGGGUUCUGAGAGGAAGGUCCCCCACAUUGGAACUGAGACACGGUCCAAACUCCUACGGGAGGCAGCAG